rnacentral:rRNA from 1 species
GUUUCGUGUGCUUGUGCUUUGUGUUCUGGCCAUCCUUCCAAUUGCUAUCUACCUUUCUUCAUUGAUUGGUAGGUGGUAUUGGAUCUUUUACUUUGAAAAAAUUAGAGUGUUUCAAGCAGGCUUUAUGCUAUGAAUACAUUAGCAUGGAAUAAUAAUUUAGGACUUCGGUUCUAUUUUGUUGGUUUCUAGGACUGAAGUAAUGAUUGAUAGGGAUAGUUGGGGGUGCUAGUAUUCAGCGGCCAGAGGUGAAAUUCUCGGAUUCGCUGAAGACUAACUUAUGCGAAAGCAUU